rnacentral:rRNA from 1 species
AUUGAACGCUGGCGGCAGGCCUAACACAUGCAAGUCGAGCGAGCGGCGGACGGGUGAGUAAUGUAUGGGGACUGCCCGAUAGAGGGGGAUAACUACUGGAAACGGUAGCGAAUACCGCACACGAUCGGAUAACACAUAGGGGAUUCGCUAGUAGGUGAGGGAAUGGCUCACCUAGGCGAAGAUCCCCAGCUGGUCUGCGAGGAUGAUCAGCCACACUGGGACUGGGACACGGCCCAGACUCCCACGGAGGCAGCAGUGGGGAAUAUUGCACAAUGGGAGCAAGCCUGAUGCAGCGAUGCCGCGUGUAUGAAGAAGGCCCUAGGGUUGUAAAGUACUUGCAGUCGGGAGGCGUUACCGACAGAAGAAGCACCGGCUAACUCCGUGCCAGCAGCCGCGGUAAUAC